UACGAAGGGGGCUAGCGUUGCUCGGAAUUACUGGGCGUAAAGGGCGCGUAGGUGGCCCGUCAAGCGCGCGGUGAAAGCCCGGGGCUCAACCCCGGGUCGGCCGUGCGGACUGGCGGGCUCGAGCACUGUAGGGGCGGGUGGAAUUCCGGGUGUAGCGGUGGAAUGCGUAGAGAUCCGGAAGAACACCGGUGGCGAAGGCGGCCUGCUGGGCAGUAGCUGACGCUGAUGCGCGACAGCGUGGGGAGCAAACAGG
rnacentral:rRNA from 1 species